rnacentral:lncRNA from 1 species
CCAAAUCUUUUCAGAAGGUUCAUGUUUUCUCUUCCAUCAGUGCACUCAAACUUGAAACUUGUAUUCUUGAAUGACUAAGACUCCUUUUCUUCUGUCCUGUGAAAACAUCCCUGUGAUUUGAAAAUGUUCUGAUAAACUUGAGUCAGAAAAAUCAACAGGUAGAAUGUAAACUUAACGAUCUUCAUUUGUAAACUUAAUGAUCUUUGCAGAAAUCUUUGUUUUGUUAAUUGAAGUAUCCAUGCUCUAGGAACAGUGUCAGGCAUAACAGCAGUGCUCAAAAUAUUUGUCAGAUGAAUAAAUAAAGGAGUAAGUGUGUUGAUCAUUAAUUAAGUAGGUCCAGAGAGUACAAGGAGCUACUGGAAAAGUAGACUUUUCCACUGUUUUUUCCUCAUGGGCUGAAGAUGUUUGAAGCAUGGAGUGGGGGUAGAAGAAUGGGUUUGGGAAAAAGUUUGAGAAAAAGUGUAACUUUUAGAGAAUAAUGUCAAAGGAGAACAAGAGGCUUAAAAAUAAAUACUAUAGAAUUGAAA